GUGCCAGCAGCCGCGGUAAUACGUAGGGGGCGAGCGUUGUCCGGAUUAAUUGGGCGUAAAGAGCUCGUAGGCGGCUCAGUAAGUCGGGUGUGAAAGCCCCGAGCUCAACUCGGGGAGGCCACCCGAUACUGCUGUGGCUAGAGUCCGGUAGGGGAGCGUGGAAUUCCCGGUGUAGCGGUGAAAUGCGCAGAUAUCGGGAGGAACACCAGCGGCGAAGGCGGCGCUCUGGGCCGGAACUGACGCUGAGGAGCGAAAGCGUGGGGAGCGAACAGGAUUAGAAACCCCCGUAGUCC
rnacentral:rRNA from 1 species